GGUCCGGCGUAGCGAGGUGGGGCGGCUGAGCGCUGGAAUGUGUUCAGGCGGUCCCCAGGGCCCGCCACGCGGGAGCCCUUCUCUCGGUUCCAGAUGCUGUCACGGUCUCAGGGAAGUUGGGAGCAGGGCCCCUCUGGGAUGGUGUGAACUUAGCUCCUAAUACAGCCCAGUAUCCUGCCCAGUAUUCAAGAGGACCAUUUUUUUCACAUGAAAAGCCUUAUGGAUACACAAACUUCUCAAAUCAGUGUCAAGUUUUCACUGCAAGGAAAUAGAGUAUUUAAGGACUUGUCUCUCCGGCUAUGUUAAAGGGCCAUCCUCUGAGGAAAGCAGAGGAGAGGAACUCUAUUAUCUUUACAGUGAAAUGCAAAACAACUGCAGAAAAUCCCACUAAGUUCGUUCCAAAUGCUCAUCUUCUUCUUCAGCCCUGUAAGUCAAACAGGAAACAAAAUAAUUUUUCUUCGUGGAGGGCAGAGCAGCACUCCCCGCUCGCCCCGCAUUCCAAGCCCCAGCGGGAAUGGGCAUUCGGGGCCAGCGGGAGGCUGCGCCUGCCCACCCGAUACCCCUGGACUGAAGUUUCCGCAAACUUCUCGGCCCCGCAGCAGGCAGCAGAGCCUCGACCCCGACCCCACUGCCCACUUACUGCUUUUCCUGCGCGUCCAGGUCCCUGACGAGCGCAUCGCGCUUGUUCACCAGGGCCACCAGCUCAUCCAGCAGCAGUUGCUCGCGUCGCUUCUGGGCCUCAGUCUUCUGCCAGUCUGCACAGGAUGGGAGGCUUGUUAUCCACCUGCAAGGCCUUGGCAUACCCUGGCCCCCCUUCCCACCUUUACCAGUUUCCUUGUACUUCUCCGUAAACCAUAUUAUACAGAGUGUUUUGUGGGGAGUUUGGCUGUCACGGUAAGGAUUUUACCCCUAAAACCCUGCUUUCUAAAUAUUUUCUGCAGAUGGACAUGGCUACGGCUGGGCUGGAACCUGCAAAAGAGUCCAGGUGUGAAUCAUUGGCCAGCCGGAGGUGCGCACCUGAUUUCAGCCAAAGUGGGGGAGGGAGGGCUGGAGGCCUAGAACAGGUCGGCCGAGGCUUGGGUGGUGGGGGAUGUGGGUAAAUGAGGAGGCGGGAAGCAGAGAGGGGCGAUAAAAUCAUUCUGAAAAGGCUAGAGAAUCUGCCUGAGAACCUAUCCUUUCCCCCCACCCCCAUGCUCACCCCAUACAGCCCAUUCUUCGCUAAUUUCCUCUUCGCUCUAUUUUAGCAGUUGGAUGUAUCUCACACUGGGCGCCAUAUGCUUCACAAUAACUUUAAAAGUAGUGAAUCGGCUAAUUAGCAUUUUUCUUUGAAGUAAAAAAUAAAUUUGCUCUGCAAUAUUACACUGCAGCUCUCGAUCGCAUCACAGCCAGUUUUCUUUUGGAGAGGUUUGCUGGGUAGUUUCAAAUCAAAGCACUUUUGCAAAGGAAAAAUUCCAUACUUCUUUUUGAAAUCCCAUGUUAAAGGUUGGAAAAUCCGAUGGGCAGUGCUCUUUCCAUGGGUAGGAGCAGUUUUUUGACGGUUUUAAAUACCAAUAAAAAUUUCCUAAUCUUUGCUAGUCUGAUAAUUUCCUUAAGAUGAGCAGCAGUUUGGUUUAAUAAAAACAGGACCUAAUCGAACAUUUAAAGCACUUUUGAAACCAAAGCCAACUGCUCUCUGGCCAGACUGUAAGGGCUUGUAGCUGUCAAUCAACCCCCAGUCUACCCCGCCUCCCUCAUUAGGAAGGUAAACAAUGAAAAGAAGAAGUAGAUGAUGAGGCAGAUAGCAGAACAAAUGAGGACCUAGAGGGAAACAGGACACCAGCUUAAAAAAAAAA